GACGAACGCUGGCGGCGUGCUUAACACAUGCAAGUCGAACGAUGAAGCUGGAGCUUGCUCCGGUGGAUUAGUGGCGAACGGGUGAGUAACACGUGAGCAAUCUGCCCUUGACUCUGGGAUAACUGCGGGAAACUGUAGCUAAUACUGGAUACGAGACCUGAAGGCUUCUUCGGGUCUGGAAAGAAUUGCGGUCAAGGAUGAGCUCGCGGCCUAUCAGCUUGUUGGUGAGGUAAUGGCUCACCAAGGCGACGACGGGUAGCCGGCCUGAGAGGGUGACCGGCCACACUGGGACUGAGACACGGCCCAGACUCCUACGGGAGGCAGCAGUGGGGAAUAUUGCACAAUGGGCGCAAGCCUGAUGCAGCAACGCCGCGUGAGGGAUGACGGCCUUCGGGUUGUAAACCUCUUUUAGUAGGGAAGAAGCGAAAGUGACGGUACCUGCAGAAAAAGCACCGGCUAACUACGUGCCAGCAGCCGCCGUAA
rnacentral:rRNA from 1 species